UUGAAGGAACUUGAAGGGCUUAUUCUGC
rnacentral:piRNA from 1 species